UACGGAGGGUGCAAGCGUUAAUCGGAAUUACUGGGCGUAAAGCGUGCGUAGGCGGCCCGUUAAGUCAGAUGUGAAAGCCCCGGGCUCAACCUGGGAACUGCAUUUGAAACUGGCGGGCUAGAGUUUGGUAGAGGGGAGCGGAAUUUCAGGUGUAGCGGUGAAAUGCGUAGAUAUCUGAAGGAACACCAGUGGCGAAGGCGGCUCCCUGGACCAGAACUGACGCUGAGGUACGAAAGCGUGGGUAGCAAACAGG
rnacentral:rRNA from 1 species